AGAAAAAGCAUUAAGGUGACCCUAUCAGCUCAUGAAUUUAUAUGUAUAUUUAAUUAGUGUCACACUAAAAAAUGAGCUACCUAGCAGUUACCCUGUUCCAGUCAAGCACAUUGCUUGGGUCCCUUAGAACAGUACAAGGGGCCUCAAAAAGCACUACACAUAAAUAUUAUACCCUUAAGUAUAAUACUUUUUUCCCUCUAAGCUGUGAAGAAUUUGCAAAGGACUUAAGUCUCCAGAUUUAUCAAAAAGCUCAGUAGAUCUCUCAGCGUAAUUUGACUAUUAUAGUAAUAAGCUGUCAAAGCAGACAAUAUAUCUAUUUAAUAUAGUCAUUUGGAACGGACAGAACACAUUUUUUUACUUAAAUUCACAAAAAGCCACCUAAGAGAAAGUUCAGCUUCAGUUGAAGUUUGGUUUCUUCCAAUUCCAGGCUGAAGGACAGAUAAAACUAUGCUGAUCACCACAAAAAUAAGAUAAAACCAAAGUAUUCAAUGAGCUUGCAGGCACACAACCCUUUCAAAAAGCUGAAAUUUAAGGACUUUUCUGUUUGUUCCCUAUCCACAGAAAUUGUUCCCUAUCCCUAUCCACAGAAUUGCAAACCACCAAGUCCUGUUCUGAGACAAGAGAACCAUAGUUCCUUUACCUAGUUCUAAAAAACAGUUAUAGAGCCCAGGGGUGCCAGGAGGGAAGGGAGUAGUCCCCCACAGGGGAAAUAUUGUGGAGAUUUCUGCCUCUGCAUAAACUCACCUGGAGGGGUUGAUGCGAGAAGGACACAAGCGGUGGAGCAACAGCUAAGGGGCCCAAGAUCAGGACCUAGAGAGGCCCAAACAGCUGUGGUGGGGAUUUGGAUCAGGCCAGGAAGCACGAAGCAGGAUCCAGAAGGUUGAACAGCAGCCAUAAGGCCGAGAAUUGGGCUGGGGAGCAGAGAAUGAAACCCAGAGAGGCUGGAAUGGGCCAGGAAGCAGGGCAAGUCUGAGCCAUAAGAUUGAGGUCUUCAAUUUCAUUUUGGAUCAUCCUGUUAUGGAAAAUUGGACAACCUAUGGUCUAAUUCUGGAAGAACUCUUUGCAACUCUAGAGCUCACCAUCUCUACUAUGAAACUGACCUAAGAACUACAUUCAUGUCUACAUUUCCUCUUAUUCAAGCUCACUAAUGCUUACAGGGACUCUUCAGUCUCCAUACAGCUUUAUAAAACAACUACACAGGAACCCAGCAGUCAGAUACAGACUACUUCCUUCCAGGAGCCAAAGAUGCUUAACACACAACUUUGUUCCAGCCCUCACACCAGAAACUAGGGUGACCAGAUGAGAGGAAGAAAAUACUGGGACACAUGGGCGUGGGGGUGAGGUCAUCAGCAGAGGAAAAAAAAGCCAAGUGUUGUGAAAUAUCGGGACAAAUUGCAUCCCAACCAAAGACUGGGACGUGGGACAAAUGCCUAAAUAUUGGGACAUCGGGUCACCCUACCAGAAACCCAGGUAAUCCCAUUAGUACUACACUCGCUCUCUGGACCACAUGAUCUCUCCAGGUGCCUCCUGGAAUCAGCCCUUACCCUUUUAGGGCAAAAUAGCUGCAAAAUAAAGGAGUCAGCUACUCCUACUAUUGGAUACAAUGGAGACUGCUUUACCUUAAUUUUGCCAGUGAUCACCUUUGCAUCUAUGACCUCCAGUAGCAACAUAACAGUAGUAAAAAAUGACAGGAACAAAAAUUUUGGAGCCAGAAAACAAUUUGAAAGGUAUACAAGGAAGUGUUCAAGUUUACAAAGGCAAUAUCACAUGCACCAACUUCCUGCCAAAGGAGGCAUUGUAAGAGUCUAAAAUUAUUUAUUAAGCCUACCAGAACAUUAGUCCUAGGUUAUGGGCACCCUUUAACCAUCAGUUAAAAAAGGCUAUAUAUAAAAAUUACAAAAUGCAAAAC